GAUGGGCUGGGGAGCAGGAGGGGAGCUGUGCCAUAUGCUCUCUGCACACACCGAGUACUGACGUGGGACAGGCUGCUGGGUCCCAGGGCCUGCUGGAGCCAGCAGCUGACACCAGUUUGUGAAUCGCUACCCACACAAGCCCAUGCUGCCAGGCUCCACUGGCAUACCACGACUGAGGGAGAGAAAGGAAUACCAGCCCAGCCAGGCUGUCGACUCUCUUCCCCAUUCCUGGCAUUUCAAAGGCAUUUUGUUCUGCUUGAACCCCCUCACUCACGUCUCUAAGCCCUCAGGCAGGCACAGGCUAUCUCACCUUUAUUUCUAAUGUACAUGCCAUCCUGGAGCCAGGAGAUGGGAAGUUUGUUCACUUCUUUGCAGACCCUGCAGAGCACAAAAAGCAGCACGUAGGUUUUGUAUAGUUUUAACCCAGAGGAUAUCCACUCCAGGCUCAAAAAGGUGACAGCUAUCCCACAGUUUGCCACAAGCUGCUCAUGUGAAAAUUAGAGGUGGAGAUAGAGGGCAUUCAAAAUCAUAGCCAAGCUCAAGUUCCCUUAAGAUUUGGAUGGAUACAGAGAGGGAUAUAGAAGAGGGGUGGGAAGUUUGUCACACAGACAGUUAUGAGUCACAAAGAAAUGUCUCACAGCUGGCUUGAACCUGCAAAAGGCCCAAAUUUUCCCAUCCUCAGUAUAUUAACCAAAGAGUCUGUCCACCUAGGUGGGAGAAGUUGAGUGCAUCAUUCACUGUUAACUGCAAUUUCAAUGCUUUUGCACUUGCAUCAGCCUGGCGACAUUCAAAAAUCUCUGAACUGACCUCAACACAAGCAUGGAAGUGCAGAAGUAUGAGCAAGGGGAAGUAGGAAGCCUUGUUGCUUCACAGUUGCUUCUGCCUUCGAAGCAUUGCCUUAGAAUUUGCUGGGGCUUUAAAUGUGGGCAGAUAAUUCUAGUUUCACUUCAUGGCCAGUUCAUUCCAGCUCAGCCACUAAAUACAUAAAUUUUAACAGCAUUGUCCCAUCCUCCAGCACAAGCACCUUUGCCUUACAAGUCACUUGGUUUGUCAUUGCUGUACAGAAAGAAAACAAGGAAAUUUCUUUUAAUAAGAAAUAUCACAAAUUGGAUGCCAUUCAGGACAAAACUUUCAAAAAAUUCAGCUCUGAUAUAAGACCUGAUCUAAAUGAACACAUUUUCAUAUAUCCAAGAUUUUCUUCAGUUACUGAAUAUUGUUCUUUUUUUUUCUUUGAAAUGUGAUGACAGUUCCCGAAAUAGCAUUUACUGGUAGUAAAUUCUCCUAAAUUAUCAUACCAGCUAUUGCAACUGAUCAAUUUAAUUUUGAAUGAUAUGUUAAAGUGAUUAUAGAAGGACCAGGCUCCUGAAUAUAAUUGAAUUUCAAUAGAGCUGUGGCACUUAGUUCCUUUCAAUAUGUAGAAGAUUCCAGACUUUAAGACUAAUUAUUAAAGCUGCUUAAAAAAAAAAAAAGCACUACAAAAAAAUUCCAAACUACCCUGCUUUUCCCUUAAGAAAGUAUCUUGAAUUUACAUCAUUUUCCACCACCAAAAAAAUGACAUUUCAAAAAGAAAAUCAUAAGAAACCAGGGAAAGUUUUUAUUGAACAUGAUUCAUGAAACAUUUGUUUAGCAGAACACAUGGGCCACCAAUUUUCACAUUUUUGAUUAAAAAUUCUCACCCAUUAAUGAAAAAUUAACAGAUACCUGAUCUAAAUGAAUUUAAAGGUAAGAUUAAAUAUUUAAUAAUUAUCAUAACAUACCAUUAGAGGGUUGUAGAUGUUUCAGAGCUUUCUUUUUCUAUCACAUGAGCUGAGGCAGAUUAAUGUGGGGUUUUUGGCACUUAAGAAAAUUGAAAAUAAUUAAUCUGUAAUGGCAUUGAUGGAAAAAGUGUUCAAAAUGUCAAUAAAAGUGCUGCUUUAACAGUAUUUCAAAUAGUCUACUUAUGCAACUUAAGAGACACAUUAUCUGCCAGACUACACACUUUUCCAUUAAAAUCUAUGAAAAUCUGCAGGUGUUUAAUUACCUGCUCUCCCAUUGUUCCUUGGCUGCAGCAGGAGUAGUUUGAACACGAUGUAAAAAUUAAUGUACAAUUUAACAGUUAUUCAGGUUAAAACUUUCCCUAGUUUCUAUUUUGUAUGAAGAGUCUCAGACAAAUAAACCACAAGUUGUUUUUCUUGAGAAAGAGUUGUUUAAAUAUUUUCACUAAUUUCAAAACAUUUUGGACUUACGGAAAGAGUUAAGUUAUCACUAUUACAAUUAUCAACAUAAGACCAUAAAAUACCUGGGGAAAUACUAGAAGGAAAAUUACAUCCCAUGAGAACAGUUUAAAUGCAUGCUCCUUUUUCCCCAAAGAAGGAGGCUGUUCAACAAAUUUCUUGUUCAGGAGCUCAUUUGAGUUUUCACAGAAUCAAAGCAUGGCUGAUAUUGGAAGGUAUUUUUGGGUGCAUUUGGUCUCACUCUUGUGCUUGAGCAGGGCCACACUGCUCAGGCUUCUGUCCAGGUGACUUCUGAAUAUUCCCAUAAGUGAAGAACCCACAAACCCUCUUGACAACCUGUGUCAGGGCUUCAUCACUCUCACAAUGAAAAAUUAUUUCCUGAUGCUCAGAAGGAAUCUCCUACAUUUCAGUUUGGGCCCAUUGCCUCUGGUCCUGGCACUGUGCAGCAGAAAAAUAGCCUGGCUCCAUCCUCUUUGCACCUUCACCUCAGAUGAGAUCCCCCUGAGCCUUGUCUUCUCCAGGCUGAGCAGCCAUCACUCUCUCAGCCUUUCCUCAUUUGAGAAAUGCUCCACUCUCUUCACCAUCCUUGUAGUUCUUUGUUAAUUCUCUCUGGUAUGUUCGCGUCUCGCUUGCACUGGGGGAGCCCAAAUGUGGGCCUGGCCUUCCAGAUCACCAGCAGUGAGCAGAGGGCAGGAUCAUCUCCCCUGCUCUGCUGGCAUUGCUUGGCCUAGAGCAGCCCAGGAUAUCAUUAUAUCAUUCACUUUCUUUGCAGCAAGGGUGCAUUCCCGACUCACAUUCAGUCUGGUGCCCACCAAGACCAUGCCAAGCUGCUUUCCAGCUGGGUGGCCUCCAGCAUGUCCCAAAUGCAUGAGGUUCUUCUUCCCAACAUGCAGGAGUUUGUAGCUAUGCUUGUUGAACUUCACGAGGCUCCUGUUGGCCCAUUUCUCCAGCCUGUCGACGUCCCUCUGGAUGUCACCAUGAUCCUGAGGCCUAGCAGCCAGUUUGGUGUCAUCAGCAAAUUUGCUGAGGGUGUGCCCUGCCCCACUAUCCAAAAGAAAAUAUUAAACAGGACUGGACCCAGUACAUAUAUAUAUAUACCCAGUAUACCUGGGCAUUGCCUCUAAUCACUGGUCUCUAAGCAGACUGCUGAUCACGCCCCUCUGGGCCCAGAUGUUCAGACAGUUUUCAAUCCACCUCACCAUCCACUCAUCCAGGCCAUGCAACAACAGCCUGCCUAUGAGGACCUUACAGGAGAUGGUGUCAAAGGUCUCUGAGGUCCAGGCAGACAAUAUGCACCGCCCACCCUUCAUCAGACUACUUGCUUCAUCACAGUUUAUCAAGUUGAUCAAGUCAGAAGUCAGUUAUGCUGACUACUCUUGAUAAUUUUCUGAUCCUUCAUGUGCCUGGAAAUGGUUUCCAGUAUUAGCUUCUCCAUCACCUUCCCAGGGACCAAGGUGAGUUUUUGUCUGUAGUUCCCUGGAUCUUCCUUCUUGGCCACCUUACAGUGCUUCUAAGUCUUUUCUGUUAGAGUUUGGUCAAUGUCAGAAGGACUCACAGUUUGAUGUUUUUGGCCAAGAACAUCUAGUAUCUUUGGCCUGAACAACAUACAAAGAAGGUCAAGAAAUCUGGGAUUUCUUUUGGCAUUUUUCAAGGAUCCAACCAACUUUAUUUGGCAGACUUCUUAUUUUUAUGUUUCAUGCUUCAUCCUUUCUAGGCUGGCCCACAAAAGGCAUCCAGUAUCUAGAUGUCUAGUUCAUGAAUCCUGAAUCAAAUAUACACUUAUACUCAAUGACCAUGAAGGGCAUUCCACUACAUUUUCAUUAACUCUGCCCACUGCAUGGUCUUUAGUGCCAUGCUUCACCCACAAUCAACAAUCCAGAACCCACUUCUGGGACCAGUCAUCUGCUGUCUUUCCUUACAGAACGCACCUCUUUUCUAUUUCUAACACACUGUAGGGUGACAUGCAGGAAAGAAAACAAGCCAUAUCUUGUGGAACUGCUCAGUCAUGGACUGCAGCAUCAACAACCAGCAAUCGAGAGAAGAGAUACAUCAUUAAACUUAUUUAUAGCAUUAACUACUUUGCAUUCAUCCACACAAGUGAAACUGUAAAAAGAAGAAAAAAUUAUAAAGGGAGCGUGUGGUUCUUUCAUUAGCUUGUCUGUAAUGUUGGAUUGGUCCAUAAAUUAAUGUGUAAAAGAGGAUGGGAAAAAAAAAUAAUUCAAAGCUUUGCCAUUGUAAUUAUAGCUCUUUAAAUAUCAAAAGACACAAAGAAAGAUUCCUUUUGAAAAGAGUACCGAUUCUCUUGGCAAGCCACUAUUAAAUACUUGCAUAAAUCUACA